GCCAGCAUGGCAUAGUAGUUUGAGUGUUGGACUAUGACUCUGGAGACCAGGGUUCGAAUCCCUGUUCGGCC
rnacentral:tRNA from 1 species